GGUAAAAAUUAUGCUAUCGCUGGUAUCUACUUUUGAUACGAGAGGAAAGUCCGGGCGACGUAGUGCAUUGCACCAUUUAACUAAUGGAACCACAUGUUAAUGUGGUAUAGAAAGUGUCGCAGAAAAAUACCGCCUUAAUUCGUUAGGGUAAGGGUGAAAACGUGCGGUAAGAGCGCACGCAAAUUGAUAGUAAUAUUGAUUUGGGAUAAACCUUGCAAGUCGAAAUGCCAUGUAUAUUUCAUGGAUGUUCUCCUACGGUUGCACGCCGUAUCUUCUUCGGAAGAGUGAAAGGGGUGGGCAGAUAGAGUCAACCAGUGAUGAUUGACCUAGAUAAAUGAUAGCACAAGACAGAAUCCGGCUUAUAGAUUUUUAUCAAAA
rnacentral:RNase_P_RNA from 1 species